GAUCAACUCGGACUNACUCGUCUAAUGCCUCUAGAUUAGACGUUGAUUCAUGGCUCACCANCGAGACGCUGGUCUGUGACNAGCCUAAUACAUGCAAGUCGAGCGAACAGAGAAGGAGCUUGCUCCUUUGACGUUAGCGGCGGACGGGUGAGUAACACGUGGGCAACCUACCUUAUAGUUUGGGAUAACUCCGGGAAACCGGGGCUAAUACCGAAUAAUCUAUUUUACUUCAUGGUGAAAUACUGAAAGACGGUUUCGGCUGUCGCUAUAAGAUGGGCCCGCGGCGCAUUAGCUAGUUGGUGAGGUAACGGCUCACCAAGGCGACGAUGCGUAGCCGACCUGAGAGGGUGAUCGGCCACACUGGGACUGAGACACGGCCCAGACUCCUACGGGAGGCAGCAGUAGGGAAUCUUCCACAAUGGGCGAAAGCCUGAUGUGAGCAACGCCGCGUGAGUGAAGAAGGUUUUCGGAUCGUAAAACUCUGUUGUAAGGGAAGGAACAAGUACAGUAGUAACUGGCUGUACCUUGACGGUACCUUUAUUAGAAAGCCACGGGUUAACUACGUGCCAGCAGACCGCGGUAAUUACGUAGUGGCAAGCGUUGUCCCGGAAUUAUUGGGCGGUAAGCGCNGCGCACGANGCGGGCCCUUAAAGUUCUGUUUUUAAANCCCCCCNGGUUCUCAACCCCGUGAGGGGUCUCUUGGCACCNUGGGGGACUUCAGUUUGCCCGCAACAGGGGACAAGUUGGGGAAUUUCCCAGUUGUUANCCGGGGGGNAANNAGCCGUUGAANGACUUUUGGGGGGGNGCCACCCCCUGGGGGGCAGGGGCAANCCUUUCGGUGGUCUUGACGGCUGUAGCGGAGACGACCUGGGUGGUGUGCGACAUGUGUUUCCUCNUUUUCUCCUCUUCCGCGUAUAGUGUUUUUGGUUCCCCCAGCGGGGGAGNAUGCUCCUCCUGCGUGUGUUGUUUUUAAUUAUAUAAGAUGGUNCGCUGGUGUUUGUUUUNUCUCACGCCAUCUGU
rnacentral:rRNA from 1 species